ACCUUUUCUCUCUCUCUUUCCUUCUUUCUUCAAAUUUACUUAUCUUUAUUUGAAAGGCAAAGUUACAGUGAGAGAGGGCGAGACCAAGAGAAGAGAGAGAACCCAUCCGCUGCUUCAUUCCCCAGAUGACUGCAAUGGUUGGAGCCAGGUCAAAGCCGGGAGCCUGGGACUCCAUCCAGUCUCCCACAUGGGUGGCACUUGGGCCAUCUUCCGCUUCUUUCCCUGGGCACAUUAGCAGAGAGCUAGAUUGGAAGUGCAGCAGCCGAGACCUCAACCAGUGCUCACAUGGGAUGCACUUAAUCUGCUGUGCCACAGUGAUGGCCCCAGUGGUUGAGCUUUUCUGUCCAGGUUUGUUUUUACCUGCACUAAGGCCAUUUACAUAUGCCUUAGCAGUUCAAAAAAUUGGAAGCAAUACUGAAAUAAAUGAAAAAAGUAGGGAUUUUCAAAAUGAUUUAAAUUGCCCCUGCUAGUACUCAAAUGUGAAAUGAUCAGUGAUCUCCAGAGGAUGGGACAUGCCUCUGACUUGUCUUCGUAUCACACACAGUACUCAUCAUCACACCAUUUCUGUGUGAAUAAGUGUGUGCCUCCUAAACCACGUGAAAGCUUGCUCAGACUCACUGGUCAACGGAAAGAAAACACCAACUGACACUCAUGAGAGCCAGAGGAGACACUGAAGAGGAGGAGACACCUCUAAAUUUCUUCCUGGUCCAGGCUUCUCGUCCCUCUGACAAUUCAGUUCUUCCUGGAACUCCUUUACUGCUGGCUCAAGGAGGAGCUGGCUGAAGCUGGACAGCUGUAGAUGUGGGGUGUGGGGCAGGGGAACCGUCUCACACAACUCUCUGGUGCCUGUGUCCCCAACCUGGGGAUCCCGCUCAUUCUUCAGGGUGAGCUUACUGAAAAGCUGUUGGUUCCAGUCCAAGCAAGAGGGGUUGACUAAGCCCAGUUGCCUCCAUUUUGAAGAAGAAUAAAACAAGACCCAAAGGGAAGAUGUGGUUUGCCAAGAACAUCUAGAGAAUUGGUGGCAAAGCUAUAAUCAUAACCUGGGUCUCUGGGUUCUCCCUUUUCCAAGGUCCUUCAGCUAUAACUCCCUCAACUAAAAUAAUUUGCUUUCUGGAAAGGGUUGGGUGAAUCUCACCCAUCACAGGAGUCCAUUAGGGAAUAAUACAGUGUGCUAAUUUUUCAAAAUAAUAGUGAAACACAAGAGUAGAGUUGGAAGAUUCAUACUUCCCAAUUUUAAAACCUAUUCCAAACCUAAAGUAAUCCAAACUCUAUUGUACUUUUAUAAGGACAGUCAUAUAGAUUAAAGCAGGAAUAAACCCAUUCACCUCUUCAACAAAUAAUGCUGGAACAACUGGAUAUCCAUAUGCAAAAUAAUGAAAUUGGGCCCUUACCUCAAUCCAUUUACAAACUUUUUUAAAAAAAGAUUUAUUUAUUUGAAAGGCAGAGUUAGAGAGAGAGAGAGAGAGGCAGACAGAAAAGUCUUCCAUCUGCUGUUUCACUCUCCAAAUGGUCACAAUGGCUAGAGCUGGGCUGAUCUGAAGCCAGGAGCCAGAAGCUUCUUCUGGGUCUCCCAUGUGGGUGCAGGGACCCAAGCACUUGGGCCAUCCUUUGCUGCUUUCCCAGGUGAAUUAGCAGAGAGCUGGAUCGGAAGAGGAGCAGCUGGGACUGGAACCGGUGCCCAUAUGGGAUGCUGGCACUGUAGAUGCCAGCUUUACCACCACAGGCCUGGCCCCACCAUUCAGAAACUUAAAAUGGGUCAACAACAUUUAUGUAGGAUCCAAACUAUAAAAUUCUUUUAGAAGAAGACAUAAAGAUCAAUCAUCUUGAACUUAAUUUGGCAAUGGAUUCUUAGAUAUGACAGCAAAAAUAUGUAAGAGCAGUAAAAGGAAAAAAUAGGCCAAUUUUACCUAUCGAAAUUUAAAACUUUUAUGCAUUAAGUAAAAAGACAUUGGGGUCGGCACUGUGGCGUAGCAGGUAAAGCCACCGCCUGUAGUGCUGGCAUCCCAUAUGGGCACCAGUUCAAGACCUGGUUGCUCCACCUCCAAUCCAGCUCUCUGCUAUGGCCUGGGAAAGCAGUACAGGAUGGCCCAAGUUCUUGGGCCCCUGCACCCACUUGGGAGACCUGGAGGAAGCUCCUGGCUCCUGGCGCAGCUCCAGCCAUUGUAACCAUUUGGAAAGCAAACCAGUAGAUGGAAGAUGCCUCUCUCUCUCUCUCUCUCUCUCUCUCUCUCUGCCUCUCUAACUCUUCCCUUCAAAUAAACAAGCAAAUCUUUAAAAGAAAAAAAAGUAAAAAGACAUCCUACAAAUGAGCGAAACCAUUUGCAAAUCAUGUUAUGUGAUAAAAAAAAUCUCAAUAACUACCAUAUAUAAAGAAUACCUAUAACUCAAUAAUGAAAAGAUAAUCCAACCUAAAAUUCGGCAAAGGACUUAAAUACACAUUUCUUCAAAGGUACACAGGAGACUAACUCUACAUCGUUAGUCACUGGGGAAAUGCAACCCAAAAACCACAAUGAACGACUAGUCCACUAUAAAGAUAAUUUUAAAAACCUGAAAAUGAGAAAAGUCAAUGCGGAUGUGAUCCACUGUGCAUUGUUGAUGGGAAUGUAAAAUGGUUUAGCCAAUGGGAAAGACAGUAUGGUGGUUUCUCAAAAAAUUAAACAUGAAUUACCAUGUGUUCCAGAAAUUCCCCUACUAGAUAUAUAAGGGAAAUUUUAGAAGUUCACAGAAAGUGUGUAUUAUGAGAAAACUAUGCAUAGAUUUCAAAAUUUCUUGCAGCAAAAUAAACCUAUUUUUAAUUUAAUUUUUUUUGGACAGGCAGAGUGGACAGUGAGAGAAAGAGAGACAGAGAGAAAGGUCUUCCUAUUCCGUUGGUUCACUCCCCAAUGGCCGCUGUGGCUGGUGUGCUGUGGCGGGUGCACCACGCUGAUCCGAAGGCAGGAGCCAGGUACUUAUCCUGGUCUCCCAUGGGGUGCAGGGCCCAAGCACUUGGGCCAUCCUCCACUGCACUCCCGGGCCACAGCAGAGAGCUGGCCUGGAAGAGGGGCAACCGGGACAGAAUCCGGUGCCCUGACCGGGACUAGGACCCGGUGUGCUGGCGCCACAGGCGGAGGAUUAGCCUAUUGAGCUACGGCACCAGCCAAACCUAUUUUUAAAUUCCAUUUUCCACAAACUCUUUGAGACAACUUGGUAUGCCAGAAAUAAUAAUUGAAAACACUCAACCCUCUGCUACCAAUAGGUUAAAGGUAGAACCAACUCAUACAAUCAACAGAUGAAUGAACAAAAUGUGAUACAUAAACGUAAUCCAUGCAUAUAAAGAAAUAAAGCACUGACACAUGCUGUAACAUGGGUGAACUUUGAAAAGACGAUGCUAAAUUAAAGAAACCAGUGACAAAGAUCAUCCGUGAUAGGAGUCCACCGACAUGAAAUGUCCAGAAUAGGUAAAUCUGCUGAUAGUGGUUGCUGGGUGCUUUGAUGAGGGGGGAAUGAAAAGUGGCUGCUUAAUGGGUGCAGGGUUUUCUUUUAGGGCAAUGGAAAUGUUCUGGAGCUUGAUAAUGGUAAUAGCUGUAGUUGCGCAAUGUUGCAAAUGUGCUAAGUGUCAGUGAACGUACACUGUAAAAUGACUAUAUGUUAAAUGAAUUUAACUUUAGUUUAAGAGAGAGCGCUCAGUCACUCAGAGAGCCAGUAAGACAGGAAAGUAGUUAAGCCUUCUGUGUGCUUCACUUAGAGAACACUAUUGUCCCAGAGGUUUUCCCACAUUCUAGCCAUUGUGGGGGAGAAAAACAACACGUGUUUUCUGGAGCAAGCAGAAAUGUAAAACACACGUGCGGCAGAAGUGGGGAUUAGCACCGAGGGUAAGCAGCCUCGUCCCUGCCUGCAGUGUGGUCCCUAGGUACCCAGUGACACCGCUUCCCUCCUUUGUAGAGAGUACAACCUCGGAGAUAGAACCCUAGGCUGGAGAUGGGGUGGGCUGAGAAGGGCGGGCAGUCCUAGCACCCUGAGCCUGCAGCAGGUUGGCUGCUUUUGGAGAAACUGUCCUUGUCCACAGACAGAGGGCCAGUUAAAAGGCCAGGGGCGAGGGACCAGGGUUGCGGUGCAGCGGGUUGGUCUGCCACUUGUCAUGCCAGCAUUCUAUUUUGGAGUCCCAGCUGCUCCAUUGCCAAUCCAACCAGAAGGCAGUGGAAGGUGGCCCAAGUGCUUGCCACUCACGUGGGAGACCACGAUGGAGUUCCUGGUUUCUAGCUUCAACUCCCUCUCCCAAUCAUUCCCUCUCUCUAUUGCUCUAUGUUUCAAAUAGAUAAGUAAAUAAAUAAACCCUAAAAAGAAAAAAAAAAAAUAAAGAAGACGGUGGCCCGGGGUGACAGCUGAAGCAUGUGGUAGGGGAGGCUCUGAAAACAAAGUCUGGUCCACAUCCAAGCAGUUCCCCGUGGUGCUCAGGGAUCCGUAGUAGAGAUGUCUGUGGCAUUGAUGACAGGAAGUAGGUAGCCAGGCCAGCCUGGUUCACUACAGAGGGACGAAUCGGGCUGACACGGGCUGGGUGUGAAUGGAAGGACGGGAGACUGACUCUAAAAGGAAAUAGCCUCACAGAUGCCUGAAAGAACGUCAGAAAGUCCUGUCCAUGCAUCAGUUAGCUGACCAUCCAGCCGACCAGCAGGCUCACUGGAUUCCUCCUCUGCAAUAACUCCCUGGGUGAUCCCUCGGAUCUCUUCGUUCCCGACAACACCUUGUGCUUUGGGGCCCAGCUGGGUUCGACUACAGCUAUUUCAAUUCAUAACUAAAUCUCUAAGGACUCAAAAGUCUCUGCUGGCCAGGAUGAGUUUGACUCAUUUUUGUUUCCCCACCAAGUCUAGUAGCCUGCUCUUUUCUGAGAAGGCGUUCAUGGGAUGUCUUCUGUGCGGGUGACUAUAGGGGCCAGGAAGUUUGAAGGGGGCAGCCACUUCCAUCUCAUGUAGUUCUGGUGGAACAUCACACAGAGGCCUCAGGGAUGGCGUGUGACCCUGUCUGGUCCAAUUCCAGGGGUUUAUCACCCCUCCCCGCUGCCACCCCCUAGCGACUGGCUCAGAUAUGAGCGUGACCUGAGCAGACCCAAUCGGAAUCCUUCUACAAGAUUUGACACAUGAGCUGUGGAAGAGCUUUUCUUUGGGAUCAUGAGCCGUGAAGACGUGGGUGCAGAGGCUCCCCCAUUCAUAUUCCUUGUAUCUGAGAGCCUUUGGUGAGAAUCACAGGCAUAUGAGGCAAAUAAAGGCUGGGUAUGGGGAGAGUAGCAAACACUCGGUGAUGCUGUCUUGCCCACAGUCAUGAUGACCCAGAGUGCCCAGCUGUGGGGUCAGUAACCUCCCUCUCUUGCCACGUGGGUUGGUUUGAAUUGGGCUGCUUUUCCCCCCAGCUGAUGGUCUUGACUACUGGAAGAGCGGACUCAGCAGCGAGAGCGCCUGUUUUGAAUGGCAUUUGCCGCUAGUGGGACUCCGGCAGACCGCAGGGGAGCAGGAAGUACAGUUUGGUGUGGCGUGUUGGCCUGCUGCAGUCUCAGAGGUUAAUUCAACACGAAGACAUUUGAGGAAAGCCAAGAAAUGCUUCCUAAGCUUGGCGUUCUCAGUUAGCCCGACACCUACCUGGAGCACAGAAACAAGUGCGCCCCCUUGGCAGGGGAAGCCGAGGCAGAGAUGGAGGGAACAAGAGGGCUCGUGGGGCGGGGAAACACAGCCUCAGCAUUUGUAAGCUGUCAGGCCAGUGGGGCAGAGAACCAAGCAAGACGUGGCUGAGGUGGGGAGGGAUGCCAGGAAUCUCAUCUGCUCUCCCACCUUCAAUCCACACCUCUCACCUCUGAGGUUCCAUGCCACCUGCCAAGGUUAUCACAGUGAAAACGACAACAUUGGCCAGGCCAUCCCACAGUGCGCAUCUAGGAGAGAAGAUGGGUACUAAGGAAUAAUUAUGGGGGAGGAAUUCACAGGAAUGUGGAGCAGAUAUUAGGGAUGCCUAACCUAGCUAGGGGGCUUGUGAGGCUUCACUGAAGAAGUGGAAUUUGAACUCACAUACGUGGUAACACUUGGAUGUAGGAACCAUGUCUUCAUCUACUUCUUGUAAGAAAUGAAGAGUGACUAUAACCAGUAUGUGGUCAUUAUCAGAUGCAGCAUCACACACAGAAGACAUUUAGCAAAUUGAGCUACUGCUAGUACUGAGAACUUCUGGAUUAAGCAGAGAAGAAACAGAGAUUCCCAUUCAUUCCCAUGUCAAGAGUUUUGUCUCCUGUUCUGACUGAGAAGGAUUGAGGUGUCUGGAAUGUGGGUUAGCAGAUGCCAAAGAGGGUGCCCUCUGCUUGGGUGGCAGAGCGCCCUCAUUUCUGCAAAUGUUUGGUGAACAUACGUUGAUUCAGCAGCCACUGAGCCUUGCUACUGAUAGAUUAUUAUUAUUUUUAAAUAUUUAUUUUUAUUUUAUUUGAAAGAGUUACAGAGGGAGGUAGAGACACAGAGAGAGAGGUCUUCCAUCUGCUGGUUCACUCCCCAGAUGGCCGCAACGGCCAGAGCUGUGCCGAUCCACAGCCAGGAGCUACUUCUGGGUUUCCCACGCAGGUGCAGGGGCCCAAGGACUUGGGCCAUCCUCCACUGCUAUCCCAGGCCAUAACAGAGAGCUGGAUUGGAAGAGGAGCAGCCAGGACCAGAACCAGCACCCAUAUGGGAUGCUGGCGCUUCAGGCCAGGGCUUUAACCCUCUGUACCACAGCACUGGCACCCUGAUAGAUUAUUUUAAAAGCAAACUUUUUGUCUUGGUAUUUAGAAGCAGAUCUUGGGUUCUAUGUAAACAAUCCCCUCACCACUAUUUUGAUAGUAAACCAUAUGUGAUCAGGUGCAACAUAAUUUCAAUCUAAUUAAAUGCAUUCAACAAAUACUUAUUAAAUGCCAACUAUGUGCCAAGGCUAGGCUAGGCCCUGAAGAGGGAGAGAUGGAAGGCAGUGUUAUCCCGAGAAGAUUCCAAGAAGGAGAGAGACAGAAUAGAUCUUUGCAGUGUUGUAGAAGCAGAGGAGGAGGCCGGCGCCAUGGCUCACUAGGCUAAUCCUCCGCCUGGCGGCGCUGGCACACCGGGUUCUAGUCCCAGUCGGGGCACUGGAUUCUGUCCCGGUUGCCCCUCUUCCAGGCCAGCUCUCUGCUGUGGCCAGGGAGUGCAGUGGAGGAUGGCCCAAGUGCUUGGGCCCUGCACCCCAUGGGAGACCAGGAAAAGCACCUGGCUCCUGGCUUCGGAUCAGCGUGGUGCGCUGGCCGCAGCAGCCAUUGGAGGGUGAACCAACGGCAAAAGAAGACCUUUCUUUCUGUCUCUCUUUCUCACUGUCCACUCUGCCUGUCAAAAAAAAAAAAAAAAAAAAAAAAAAAAGCAGAGGAGGAGGGGUCGAUUCUGCCUGGGGCAGGCAGUAAGUGACAAGGUGAAUGUGACGCUGGGUGUCCAGGCCGGGGUCACUGCAGCAGAAGUUUUGAGAUUCACAUAUCUCGUACGGCUUCUGCAUGGGCUGUGUGGGCAGGAAGGAGCAGGAAGUAAGCCCGGAGCAGGAGGUGGGGUGUGAACGUUUGUCAGGGAGUCUGGACUUUGACAGCAAGGAGCCCCUGAAGAGUUUUAUUCAGGAUUUGUGAUCCAAGCAGCAUUCUGGGAAGAUCGCUGAGGCAAGAGUGUGGGGGCAUGGACCAGAGAGCAGAACAUGGCGCUGCAAGGCCAGCUGGGGGCUCCAGUGAGAGGUAGUGGUGACCGGGAGCAGGGCAGCGGCUGUUUGGGAGUGGAACUGUGGCAGGAGAACAGAUGUGAGGCCCCUGGCUUGAGUAACUUGAGCAGCAGAGGAUCUGGCUGGCAUUUCACCAACUUCACCAGAGGCGGGUGUGCCCUCUGCCUUCUCAGGAGCUUCAGGAAGUUGAGGAAGGGAACGCGUAGGGGAAGGAGGGAGCAGGGGGCGGGCACGGUAGGAAGAAGGCAGGCCGCAGCCUGCUUCUGUGGCAGACACAGAGGACAAGGGGCCACAGGGCCUGGCACAGGCAGACGGGGGUGCAGACAGGCAGCGACCUCGGCAAGGGAAGCCCCUCCCUCGGCGCAGAGAGCCAUUCCUGGAGGGAAGUGGAGGGUCUGGGAAGCAAGAGGAGUGGCUGGAGCCUCACACAGAAGCCUUGGGGAGUCACAGGCGCUUCCCAUACUGGUGGCUGCUUUCUCGUGGCUGCUGUGGGCUCAGUGACUGAUGUGGGCAGGAAGCUAAUGUUGGCAUUGACUCUAGGCACGGAGGAGACUGGCAAUCAUGUUGUCUUACCCACUUGUUCCUCCCAAAUUAGUCAAGGUAAGAACCCGAACUAACGACAGUUUCAGGGUGCAGAACCAGACAAUAGGCUUCUCUGUUAUAAAAGGAUUCCAUCCCCUGAGAACUAAAAGAUAGUAGGAACUCUCUCAUCCCAACUUACUUUUAUUAUUAUUAUUAUUUGACAGGUAGAAUUAUAGACAGUGAGUGAGAGAGAGACAGAGAAAGAUCUUCCUUCCGUUGGUUCACUCUCCAAAUGGCCGCAACAGCCGGAGCUGCGCUGAUCCGAAGCCAGGAGCCAGGUGUCUCUUCCUGGUCUCCCACGUGGGUGCAGGGGCCCAAGCACUUGGGCCAUCCUCCACUGCCUUCCCCGGGCCACAGCAGAGAGCUAGACUGGAAGAGGAGCAACCGGGACUAGAACCCAGUGCCCAUCUGGGAUGCUGGUGCCGCAGGCAGAGGAUUAACCAAGCACACCUAGGUGGACGCAUCAGAAGAUGGGCAUGGAAGUGAAUCCUGGAGCAGCACAGGAGCAGACGUAGACAGGAAAUCAGGAGGCACUGGCCAGGAAACGCAUUUUUUUAUUUUUUGUUGUUGUUAUUGCUUUAAUAUUCGAAAGAAUGGACUUGAAAUACGAAAACUAUGUGUACGUGUUACUGUGAUAAAACUAACGCAAAUUUCUCUGAAAAACCAAUGAGCCCACAAGUGAAGCCAGCACGGGACACACAGCACGCGGAGGAGCCGCGGGCCGCCCCUCAGCCCUGCCUAACCGUGGCGUGGUCUUCCUGCUGCGGGAUCUGACCCAGGCCUGCGAGCGGCGGCAGGUUCCAGGCCAGGGCUGCUGGCGCCCGUGAAGGGAAACACGUUAGCCCGCGGACGUGGCACGGGGUCCCACCGAGCGCGUGGCCUCGCUCGGUGCCCAGAACCGGCUCCCCGGGGCCUGGCCCCCGCCCCUGCCCCUACCCCGCUCCGCCCCGGCCCCGGGGCGCGCAGCCCCGGUCCCUGCCCCGCCCUCCUCGGCCCUCCGCCGGUGCCCGGGGGCCUGUGGAGCGCCCCUCCCCCGCCUGGAAUCCCUGUCGCCGGGGACUCAGCUGACGGCGGACAGACAAUGGUAUUUCCCAUCAGCCUGGGUAUCAGGAGCCGGCCUUAUCCAGUCGUGUUUUGCUGUCCUCAUCAGAAGGAAGAUGGAGUCGGGAGCCAAAGUGGGGAUUGAACCCAGGAAUUCUGCUGUGGGAGCAUGGGAGUCCCAAUGGACAUCUUAACUGCUGGGCCAAAUACCUCCUCCCUUUUAAAAAUAUUUUCCUUUCUUAAAAAAAUGUUUGGUGAACAUGUAAUGUUUGCAUAUUUUUAUGGGCAUGGUGCAAUAUUUCAAUACAUACGCACAGCAUAAACCAAUAAAAGGAUUGCCUUAUCUUUUCUUUGUGUUUGGAGUCUGCCAGUUCUUCACAUAGUAUGUAAUAUGUUUUUGAGAACUCUGCUCACAUCACUGUCCUGUGGAACAUAGAACUUGUGACUACCCACUAUGUUUUGUUCCCUGUAAGUCAAUUCCCCUCUAUCCUUGUUCCUUCUUCCUUGACAGCCUUUGCCAGUCACUAUUCUAAGUUCAGAUCAGCUAUUUUUUGUAGCUUCUACAUUUGAGAGAGUAUGUGGCAUUUGUCUUUCUGGACCUGGUUUAUUUCAUUUAGCAUAAUGAGCUCCUGUUCCAGCCAUUUUGCUGCAAAUGGCAGGAUUCCACUCUUUCUAUGGCUGAGUAAUAUUCCAGCACGUGUGUGGAAUCCCAUUUUCUUUACUCACUCAUCCAUUGAGCUGGACUUGGAGAUUGAUUCUGUAUCUUGGCUGUGAAUCCUGCUGCAGUGAACCCACGAGUACAGGUUUCUCUUUUAUUUGGUGAUUUCAUUUCCUUUGGAAGUGGGAUAGCCGGGUUAUAUGGCAGAUCCAUUUUCAGUUUUUUGAGAAACCUCCCUACUGGUCUCCUUAAUGGUUCUUUCACUUGCAUUCCCCCCAACAGUGCAUACGGAUUCCCUUUCUCUACAUUCUCACCAGCAUUUGUUAUUAUUUUUGUCUUUUUGAUAACAGCCAUUCUCAUUGGAGAGAUACCUCGUUGUGGUUUUGAUUUGCAUUUCCCUGAUUGUCAGUACUACUUAAUAUUUUUUCAUGUGUUUGCUGGUCAUUUGAAUUUCUUCCUUUGAGAAGUGACUAUUCAGAGCUUUUGCUUUUGAACAGGAUAUUUUGCUGUUGAAUUUUUAGUUCCUUUUAUAGUCUAGAUACUAAUGUUUUGUCAGCUGAAUGGUUUGCGAAGAAUCUUCCCAUUCUGUAAGGUCGUCUCUUCCCACUGCUGUUUCCUUUGCUGUGCAGAAGCUUCUUAGUUUGAUACAAUCACACUUGACUGAUUGUGUUUUGUUGCCUGUAUUUUCGGGGCCUUAUCCAAAAAACGUUGUGUAUGAGAAUGUCUGAAAGUAUUUCUUCUAUGUUUUAUUCUAAUAUUCUCAUAAUUUCAGAUCUCACAUUUAGAUCUUUGAUUCAUUUUGAGUUAGUUUUGAAUAGGAAGUGGUGGUGAGGGGGCAGGAAGCAAGCUUCAGUCUCCAGCGUGUGACUCUCCGGUGUUCCCAGCCACCUAUGGAGGAGACUGCCCUUUCUCUAGGGUGUGUUUUGACACCUUUGUCAAGAAUCAGUUGGCUGUAGAGGCAUGGGCGCAGGUCUGUUCCAUUGAUCUGUGUGUCUGGACCACACCAUAGGUUGCAAUAGCUCUGUAGUAUAUCUUGAAAUCAGGUACUGUGAUGCCUCCAACUUGUUCUUUUUGUCCAAGAUGGUUUUUACUAUUCAGGGUUUUGUGCUUCUGUAUGAAUUUUAGGUUUUUUUUUCUAGUUCUGUGAAGACUCUUGGAGGUAUUUUGAUGGGGAUUGUGUCAAAUCUUUACAUUGCUUUGGGUAGUAAGGAUAUUUUAAUAAUACUAAUUCUUCCAACCCCUGAACAUGGGAGAUUGUUCCCUUUUUCCUGCUUGUGUGUGUGCCUUCUUCCCGUUCUUCCACUAGCAUUUAGUAAUUUUCAUUGUAGAGGUCUCUCAUAGAUUUGGUUAGAUUUAUUCCAAGGUGUUUGGUGGCUAUUGUGGAUAGGAUUUCUCUUAUAAUUUCUUUCUCAGUGAGUUCACUUUUGAUGAAUAAAAAUGAUACUGAUUUUUUGUGUUGGUUUUGUAUCCUGCAACUUCACUGAAGUAGUUUGUUAGUUCUCAUAGUUUCGUGGAGUCUUCAGAGUUCUUUCUACAGAAUCAUGUCAUCUGCAAGUGGGAAUAAUUUGACUUCCUUCUUUCCUACUUAUAUAUCUUGUAUUUCUUUCUCUCACCUGGUUGCUGUGGCUAAAGCUUCCAGCACUACGCUGAAUAACAGCAGUGAGAGUGGACAUCCUUAUCUAGUUCCAGAUCUUGGAGGAAAUGCUUCCAGCUUUCCCUCAUUCGGUACAGAAUGGCUGUGGGUUUGUCAUAUAUAGCUUUCAUUGCAUUGAGGUAUGUUCUUUCUUUCUUUCUUUCUUUCUUUCUUUCUUUCUUUCUUUCUUUCUUUCUUUCUUUCAGAUUUACUUAUUUAUUUCAA